UCUUUGCCUCUCUGUGUACUGCUUAGUUCACUUCCUAUCGGUAUUUGAUUUACUAGUAAGAUCAAAUAUCAAAACAUUUCCCUGUGUUUUUGUACUUGAUUUAUGUCUCUCGUCUCUUUUUUAUAGUCUAAUUGUUGCUUAUGGCCUCUUUUUUUGACAGGUUCAGAGAGGUGUGACGUAUCCCUGACUCAUGUACAUCCAAUUAGAGUUUGCAUUACUUUGCUAGUGGUUUGCCUUGAUGCCUUCACAAAAAUCAGGUGAUUAUUCUUUUAGUUUUGCACUCUUUUGCACUACCAGCUAUUAUUUUUUAGGGGAAAUCUUGUAAUAAUUGUGUAGUUUUCAGAAAUAAGCCAUAUUCUUCCUAUGCAUGACAAGGGUUUCAAGCAAUGGCUUAUAUGCAUCUUGCUUCUAAACCAAAAGGCUAUAUGUGUUUUUCAUGUGAGGCUUAGCAGAAUGAUACAUACAUAUAUGUGUUUUCUUCAUGAACCCCUUUUUAUUCUCUUAUUACUAAUAUUUGUAUCAAAUUGUACUAAGAAGUGCAUUAUGCUUCUGAAACUGCAUUUCCAUGGCAUUCAUAAUAUGUAGUUAGAAUGUUGUUAUUAAAAAAGUAGUAGAGAUUGUAUGCUGAUAAAUUCAUGUUGGAUUAUGAGAUAUUUUGUUCAGAGUAAGAUUGAUAAGUUGAGGGACAACAUGUUACUUUGGAGGAAACUUCUAAUAAGAUUGGUAUCAGGAUCAAGAUGGUCAACAAUCACUUCACUUUCCUGGUAAUAGUCCCUCGUCUCCUCUCGGUUUCAUUUCAAUAGAUUCUACAUUCUAGCUUUCAUGUAGUUUCCUUGUCUUUGUAAAUAAAGCGAUCUGACCUUUUAUUGUGACUUCUGAGUGUCUCAUAUAUUUUUUCUUGUUUUGACAAAAGGUGUCUCAUGUAUGGCUCAUUGCUUAAGUGAAAAAUCGUUAAGUUGAAAAAAGAAAUAUGCAUAAGACAGCUUCAACUCAUCAUGAGUGGAUCCUCAAGUGUAUGGAAAUAG
rnacentral:lncRNA from 1 species